rnacentral:rRNA from 1 species
UACGAAGGGGGCUAGCGUUGCUCGGAAUUACUGGGCGUAAAGGGCGCGUAGGCGGACAGUUUAGUCAGAGGUGAAAGCCCAGGGCUCAACCUUGGAAAUGCCUUUGAUACUGGCUGUCUUGAGUUCGGGAGAGGUGAGUGGAAUGCCGAGUGUAGAGGUGAAAUUCGUAGAUAUUCGGCGGAACACCAGUGGCGAAGGCGACUCACUGGCCCGAUGCUGACGCUGAGGCGCGAAAGCGUGGGGAGCAAACAGG